rnacentral:rRNA from 1 species
UACGGAGGAUCCAAGCGUUAUCCGGAAUUACUGGGCGUAAAGAGUUGCGUAGGUGGCAUAGUAAGUUGGUAGUGAAAGCGUUCGGCUCAACCGGAUAGACAUUAUCAAGACUGCAAGGCUUGAAUCUGGCAGAGGGGGGUAGAAUUCCACGUGUAGCAGUGAAAUGCGUAGAGAUGUGGAGGAACACCGAUGGCGAAGGCAGCCCCCUGGGUCAAGAUUGACGCUCAUGCACGAAAGCGUGGGGAGCAAACAGG